rnacentral:misc_RNA from 1 species
AAACUCCAAAUUUGUUGUCCUUAGUUGAGCGGCAAACUUCAAUGGAGUUUGUUUACUGUGGCACGUGCCAAAUUAAUUUCAAUUAAUACAGGUGAAUCGGAUUAAGUUAGGCGUAAUGUUUUCUUAAAAUUUCAACAAACAUUUGAAUGGAAUAGAAACAUGAAAAUUUGGAUGUGUAGAUUUAACAUUCACAGAUAAUAUUUAAACCUUAAAAAUAAUUAAUGAAAUAAAUAUUAGGAGCUAUAGUAAUGUUCAGUCAGCUGAGUAAAGGAUAUGGGUCGUGGACAGCUGGAUAUGUUGAUCCAUAUUUUGGAGAGAAAAAGGCACAUGACCACCAUGAAUUCUCCUUCCCAGAAAUAGAUCAUGAGUCACACAUUCAUGGGAUCACAGUUGGUUCCCGCUCUGGCAGAUCCACUGCCAUGUCCUGGGCUACAGCCAAACGCAGCCGUGAGCCAACACUGGAUGGCAUACCGCUUCCAAAAACAUAUACAACUAGAAAAGGUGCACUUCAGCUUUACGUUGGACCUGAUGAUUUGGAAGAUGAUGAUGAAGAUGAUGAUAAUGAUGUAAAAGAAGAUGGUUACGCUUUAAAGCCAAAAUAUGUUGAGAUAAAAAGGCCUAAUGGGCAAGAACUUAUUGACUUGAGUUUGAAACUUGGAACAAUGGAACGUCUAGCAAUGUCUGUACUACAAUUUGGUGACCAGGAUUAUGACCAUGAACACACCAGUGUCUCUGAUGCCAAGAAUAAAGCUUUCCUGAAGUUCCUACACAAAGUAGACGAAGGAUUUGAAACCACUGGCAUCGACUCUAAUGUACAGCCUGGUGGAGAUUUAAACAACUACCUCAGGGAUCUUAAAUCUAGUGCUAGCAAUCACUCGGGCAAUAUGCGUGUCUCCAAGAGUCGAGAAUCGCUGGAAUUGCAAGCAAUUCUAAGAGGGCUUGAUAAUAACACCAACUGGCCAAUGUCAUAUUCACAAGAUGGAGGGAGUGACCGUCAGAGUGUUGGUCAGUUCACGCGCCCAGUUUCGAGAGUCUCUUCACGUGGACCUUCACCAGGUUACCGAUAUUGUUUAUUGAGGAAACGAUAUUUUUUAGUACGACCUCCAUCAACACCACGAUCCACAUACCAAGUGUUGUCAGCCAAGAAACUUUGUGCCUCUAUCAAAUCAGGGAGUUACUUAGGACGUCCUUCUUCAAGGGUUUCAGUGAAUGAUGAUGAAAUAUUGGAAGGUGAUGCCAGAGGUCAUAUUACCUCAGCUUCUAUCACCAGACCCGUGUGGACACCUGCGGAAUCAAUGGAUGAUUUCCUUACUGAGUCACGUGAUGGCUUUUAUAGGGGAGAGGAAGACACAGACUCUGAUGGAGGAAAACGUAGGGGGUUGAAAGAGCGCUCAUUUCUUACUAAUAACUCUCAAUUAUAUAAAGUUGAUGAGGAGAACACGUCAGAUGUUAGGUCUAACAGAUCCGGCAGAAAAUCACGAUCAAAGAGAUCAAAGUCAGGACUUGGUUCAGGCAUUGGUUCAGGCAUUGGUUCAGAAGAAAAUGAUGAUACAGUCUCUGCCAUUGAGUUUGCAUUACCUUCAGGGACUGACUACACAUUACCUUCCCUUGAUUCAGACAGACUACUCGCUAAAACAGACUCAAUUGCUGGUUCAACAGAUGCUCAUUCAAUUGCAGCAGAGCUAGAUGCACUCGGACUCAGAAAGAAAAGUAAGGGGGAUCUCACCUACCCAUUAUUACCACCUGGAAAACGACCAAAAGCUCCAGCGGAAAAAGCCAAGAUUCCGGAUCAUAUUGCGGAGGCGCUGAAUAGACAGACAGAUGCUUCUAUGGAAUAUCUGGAACAAGAUCUUGAAAGAAGAGGAUUUUUGAAAGAUGGGAAAGUGACAGCUCUGGUUGGAGAGAGCCUUUCCGGACCGACCCUCGAGGCUGUAGGUGAGGGGUUAACAGAGGAGGAGCUUGAGCUGGCCAAGCAAAUUCUUCAGCAAAAAUUAGAUGAGGCAAAAGGUAAACUGGAUGGAAAGCCUGUAACAAAGGGCAAGGCUAAGAAACCAGCGGGUAAACUUCCCAAAAAAGGAGCCAAGAAGCCUGGGAAGGGCAAGCAGGUGGUUGAGGAGAAAUCUCCGGAGGAAUUAGACUAGGGAGGCAAUAAGAGAGAAACAUGAACAAGAGAAAAAGAACCUUGAAUACCUGAAGAUACGUGAACAAGAGGCUGCUGAGCUGCAGAAAAAGAUAGCAGAGAAACAACGAAUGCUGAAAGAACAAAAUGAUUUGACCAGCGCUAGAUCAAAG